UUUCUUUUCCGGUGUUGCUUCUUCGGGUUGGUUCCAAUAACAUCGUGUUUGUGAGGAUCCGUUGGCUAUGUCCGUUUUUCUUCUUCAUGAACUCGUUCUUCUUCCUUGCGGGAUUUCAGGCAAGAUGACCAUACCCUCAAAAUCACUUCUAUCUUUGCUUGCUAGUUGCUCGCUCUUUUGCUAUGCCUAUGCCGCGAUACCUACCACUUGUUUUUCAUGCCUCCCAUAUUGUUGAGCCAAGCCUCUAACCCACCUUAUCCUAGCAAACCAUUGUUUGGCUAUGUUACCGCUUUGCUCAGCCCCUCUUAUAGCGUUGUUAGUUGCAGGUGAAGAUUGGAGCUUGUUCCAUGUUGGAACAUGGUUAUUUUGUUGGAAUAUCACAAUAUCUCUUAUUUAAUUAAUGCACCUAUAUACUUGGUAAAGGGUGGAAGGCUCGGCCUUAUGCCUGGUGUUUUAUUCCACUCUUGCCGCCCUAAUUUCCGUCAUAUCGGUGUUAUGUUCCCGGAUUUUACGUUCCUUACGCGGUUGGGUUAUAGUGGGAACCCCUUGACAGUUCGCUUUGAAUAAAACUCCUCCAGCAAUGCCCAACCUUGGUUUUACCAUUUGCACUAACAACCUACCACCUUCCCUUGGGUUCUGCAGACUCAAGGGUCAUCUUUAUUUUAACCCCCCGGGCCAGUGCUUCUCUAAGUGUUGGUCCGAACCGAGCUGCCUACGGGGCCACCUCGGGGAAACUUGAGGGUUGGUUUUACUCGUAGCUAGUCUCAUCUGAGUGUGCCCUGAGAACGAGAUAUGUGCAGCUCCUAUCGGUAUUUGUCGGCACAUUCGGGCGGUGUUGCUGGACUUGUUUUACCAUUGUCGAGAUGUCUUGUAACCGGGAUUCCGAGCCUGAUCGGGUCUUCCCGCUAGAAGGAAUAUCCUUUGUUGACCAUGAGAGCUUGUGAUGGGCUAAGUUGGGAGUCCCCUGCAGGGAUUUGAACUUUCGAAAGUCGUGCCCGCGGUUAUGGGCAGAUGGGAAUUUGUUAAUGUCCGGUUGUAGAAAACCUGAAGUUGAUCUUAACUAAAAUACAUCAACCGCGUGUGUAACCGUGAUGGUCUCUUCUCGGCGGAGUCCGGGAAGUGAACACGGUGUUGGAGUAAUGUUUGAUGUAGGUUGUUUUAGGAUCACUUCUUGAUCAUAGUUGUUCGAUCGUGCUUUUGCCUUCUCUUCUCGCUCUCAUUUGCGUAUGUUAGCCACCAUAUAUGCUAGUCGCUUGCUGCAGCUCUACCUCAUACCUUUUACCCUUCCUAUAAGCUUAAAUAGUCUUGAUCGCGAGGUUGUGAGAUUGUUGAGUCCCCGUGACUCAUAGAUACUUCCAAAACCAGUUUGCAGGUGCCGUUGAACCGUGCAGGUGACGCAACCAAGCUCAAGGAGGAGCUCGUUGAAGAUCUUGUCCUUUGUGUUGUUUCGUUCUAGUCGAUCAGUAGUGGAGCCCAGUUGGGACGAUCGGGGAUCUGUGUAGCAUUUGGGGUAGUCUUCUUUCAUUUUGGUUCCGUAGUCGGACCCUGAUUGUAUCUGGAUGAUGUAAUGCUUUAUUCUUGUAAUUGUGUG
rnacentral:lncRNA from 1 species